rnacentral:rRNA from 1 species
AUUGGACGCUGGCGGCAUGCUUUACACAUGCAAGUCGAACGGCAGCACGGACUUCGGUCUGGUGGCGAGUGGCGAACGGGUGAGUAAUACAUCGGAACGUGCCCAGUUGUGGGGGAUAACUACUCGAAAGAGUAGCUAAUACCGCAUGAGAACUGAGGUUGAAAGCAGGGGAUCGUAAGACCUUGCGCAACUGGAGCGGCCGAUGGCAGAUUAGGUAGUUGGUGGGAGAAAAGCUUACAAAGCCGACGAUCUGGAGCUGGUCUGAGAGGACGACCAGCCACACUGGGACUGAGACACGGCACAGACUCCUACGGGAGGCAGCAGGGGGGAAUGUUGGACAAUGGGCGAAAGCCUGAUUCAGCAAUGCCGCGUGCAGGAUGAAGGCCUUCGGGUUGUAAACUGCUUUUGUACGGAACGAAGAGCUUCGGGUUAAUACCCUGGAGUCAUGACGGUACCGUAAGAAUAAGCACCGGCUAACUACGUGCCAGCAGCCGCAGUAACAC